rnacentral:ncRNA from 1 species
UGCGAUGAGCCGAGACGGCUAGCUGAUGCUAGUCAACUCAAACAGAGGCACACCGAGGAAACUCAACCUGCCGGAUUGCAGGGUGUCGGAUGAUUGUUUUGUGGAGAAU